rnacentral:piRNA from 1 species
UGGGAAUGCAUAUUUCUAUUUAAAUGUUCCU